GACGAACGCUGGCGGCGUGCUUAACACAUGCAAGUCGAACGAAGAGCGAUGGAAGCUUGCUUCUAUCAAUCUUAGUGGCGAACGGGUGAGUAACGCGUAAUCAACCUGCCCUUCAGAGGGGGACAACAGUUGGAAACGACUGCUAAUACCGCAUACGAUCUAAUCUCGGCAUCGAGGAUAGAUGAAAGGUGGCCUCUACAUGUAAGCUAUCACUGAAGGAGGGGAUUGCGUCUGAUUAGCUAGUUGGAGGGGAAACGGCCCACCAAGGCGAUGAUCAGUAGCCGGUCUGAGAGGAUGAACGGCCACAUUGGGACUGAGACACGGCCCAGACUCCUACGGGAGGCAGCAGUGGGGAAUCUUCCGCAAUGGACGAAAGUCUGACGGAGCAACGCCGCGUGAGUGAUGACGGCCUUCGGGUUGUAAAGCUCUGUUAAUCGGGACGAAAGGCCUUCUUGCGAAUAGUGAGAAGGAUUGACGGUACCGGAAUAGAAAGCCACGGCUAACUACGUG
rnacentral:rRNA from 1 species